GCACAAUCCAGGAUCUGCAGCGUGGGCAGGAUCUGCAAUGAGCCAUCAGCACUACGUUCGAGGAGGACGUCUCUGCUGUGUGGGACUAUGAGAGCAGCGUACAGCAGUACCAGGCUUACGGAGGUACCAGCAGGGAGAGUGUCCUCGCCCAAAUAGCCAACCUCAAGCAACACUGCUGCAUAUGAACCAUUUCAUGACUUUACUGCUAAGCUUUUUGCUGGAAUGUUACUGGCCAUAUUGCUGGCCUUGGUGCUAUUCUUAGAGUAGUUCACGUAGAGGAUCAAUCACAAUCGCUACAUAUAGCAUGAAUGGUUAUCCUAUAGUUUUCUGUGUGGCUCUGCUGCAAUGUUCUGCACAGAUAACUGACCUUAUUCUCAGUCGAUCAAGAUGGCUGACCUAAAUGAUGUGCAUGGCUGGUAUUGGGUUGCCUCGCUACAGCAAAUGCCGUCCUAUGAACCGUGUGUAAUAGUUUGUUGCCGUGCUAUAGUCAUUUAGUUGUUGUUAAGAUUAAAGCUAGGCUGGAUUUAUAGCAAAUCAUGCCCUGAAGAAAAAUUGCAAGUGUAUAAAUAAUGGUCAGUAGCUGUUUGAACAUGUGAAAA